AAAUAAGAAGCAAUAACUGCAUUUAGUUUCGACCUAAAAGACAGAUUUUAACUAAUCCUUAUUUA
rnacentral:tRNA from 1 species